rnacentral:misc_RNA from 1 species
GUAGGUGAACCUGCGGAAGGAUCAUUAACACGUAUCCAACGUUAAACCCCCCCGUGAAUAUUAAGCGUGCUCUUACAUCCUUGCACAACAGCAAUCUCUGGUAAAUCAUGUCGAACGGUUUGAUUCAGAGACCUCUGGCUUGUGCGAUGACGGCGGAAGCUAAAGGUGUAAUCGAGCGCUAGGUUCAGUGGUUUGGUCUUCCCCUCAAACCACUUCAAUGAAUGUCAGUGUCAUUGAAGUGUGAUGGGGA